CCUACGGGUGGCAGCAGUGGGGAAUAUUGGGCAAUGGGCGCAAGCCUGACCCAGCAACGCCGCGUGAAGGAAGAAGGCCCUCGGGUUGUAAACCUCUUUUUUAUAGGACGAAGAAGUGACGGUACUAUAUGAAUAAGCCAUGGCUAACUACGUGCCAGCAGCUGCGGGAAUACGUAGGUGGCAGGCGUUAUCCGGAUUUACUGGGUGUAAAGGGCGUGUAGGCGGGAGAGUAUGGCAGAUGUGAAAACUACGGGCGUAACCUGUAGCCUGCAUUUGAAACUGUUCUUCUUGAGUGAUUGAGAGGCAGGCGGAAUUCGUAGUGUAGCGGUGAAAUGCGUAGAUAUUAGGAGGAACACCAGUGGCGAAGGCGGCCUGCUGGACAUUAACUGACGCUGAGGCGCGAAAGCGUGGGGAGCAAACAGGAUUAGAUACCCUUGUAGUC
rnacentral:rRNA from 1 species